rnacentral:rRNA from 1 species
AUGGGCAAAGUUCGGAGCGCAGGAAGCAAGCUGAUCCCCUUCGGGGGUGACGCUUGUGGAAUGAGCGGCGGACGGGUGAGUAACACGUGGGCAACCUGCCUGUAAGACUGGGAUAACCCCGGGAAACCGGGGCUAAUACCGGAUAAUACUUUCUUUUGCAUAAAGGAAAGUUGAAAGGCGGCUUCGGCUGUCACUUACAGAUGGGCCCGCGGCGCAUUAGCUAGUUGGUGAGGUAACGGCUCACCAAGGCGACGAUGCGUAGCCGACCUGAGAGGGUGAUCGGCCACACUGGGACUGAGACACGGCCCAGACUCCUACGGGAGGCAGCAGUAGGGAAUCUUCCGCAAUGGACGAAAGUCUGACGGAGCAACGCCGCGUGAGUGAUGAAGGUUUUCGGAUCGUAAAACUCUGUUGUUAGGGAAGAACAAGUUGGGUAGUAACUGACCCAACCUUGACGGUACCUAACCAGAAAGCCACGGCUAACUACGUGCCAGCAGCCGCGGUAAUACGUAGGUGGCAAGCGUUGUCCGGAAUUAUUGGGCGUAAAGCGCUCGCAGGCGGUCCUUUAAGUCUGAUGUGAAAUCUCGCGGCUCAACCGCGAACGGUCAUUGGAAACUGGAGGACUUGAGUACAGAAGAGGAGAGUGGAAUUCCACGUGUAGCGGUGAAAUGCGUAGAGAUGUGGAGGAACACCAGUGGCGAAGGCGACUCUCUGGUCUGUAACUGACGCUGAGGAGCGAAAGCGUGGGGAGCGAACAGGAUUAGAUACCCUGGUAGUCCACGCCGUAAACGAUGAGUGCUAGGUGUUAGGGGGUUUCCGCCCCUUAGUGCUGAAGUUAACGCAUUUAGCA